AGAACAACUGAGAGUGGCCUCUCAUGCUUUCCCCCAGUUCUCCCUUAAAAAUACUUGGGGGAAGAAAGUGCUUGACUACUCACAGUCCUGGGAUGACCUGUGGCGGAAGGUAAACCGAAGGUGACUGCGGUUAACGUCCUCGAUGGGAAUGGCCACCUUCAAGAAUUGAAAAAGAAGUUUAAGCACUGUUAUCAAUAUCGUCCAGCAUAACAGCUUUAUUCAACUGGAGCUAUCAGAGUUUCGCUCUUAUUGCCCAGGCUGGAGUGCAAUGGCUCGAUCUUGGCUCACCACGACCUCCACCUCCUGCGUUCAAGCGAUUCUCCUGCCUCAGC
rnacentral:antisense_RNA from 1 species